UUAUUUUAAGAUUAUUUUUUAUUGUUGAAAAAAUUAAAAAUAAAUUGUUUUUAACAAAAAUUAAAAUUUAUAAUAUUUCAUUUUUUGGUUUUUUGUUUUAAAUUAAAAUAAUAAAUAUGGGGGAAAAAAAAAUUUUGUUAUAAAUUAUAUUAGUUUAUUUUAAUUAAAAAUAUUUUUUAUUAAAUUUGUUUUUUUUUAUUUUUUUAUAAAAAAUAUUAAUUUAAUUAUUAUUAUUGAGUUUAAUUUAGUUAUUUUUAAAAAAAUUUUGUAUAAAAUAAAUUUGAUAAUAAAUGUUUUUUAAAUUCUUUGGGGGUUUAGUUUAUGAUUUUUUGUUUCUGCUCAUUGU
rnacentral:rRNA from 1 species